UACGGAGGGUGCAAGCGUUAUCCGGAUUUACUGGGUUUAAAGGGUGCGUAGGUGGGUUGGUAAGUCAGUGGUGAAAUCUUCGAGCUUAACUCGGAAACUGCCAUUGAUACUAUCAAUCUUGAAUUAUCUGGAGGUAAGCGGAAUAUGUCAUGUAGCGGUGAAAUGCUUAGAUAUGACAUAGAACACCCAUUGCGAAGGCAGCUUACUACGGAUAUAUUGACACUGAGGCACGAAAGCGUGGGGAGUCAAACAGG
rnacentral:rRNA from 1 species